GGGGGCAACCCUGAUCCAGCAAUGCCGCGUGAGUGAAGAAGGCCUUCGGGUUGUAAAGCUCUUUUGUCAGGGAAGAAACACCGGCUCUAACACAGUCCGGGAAUGACGGUACCUGAAGAAUAAGCACCGGCUAACUACGUGCCAGCAGCCGCGGUAAUACGUAGGGUGCAAGCGUUAAUCGGAAUUACUGGGCGUAAAGCGUGCGCAGGCGGUUAUACAAGACAGGCGUGAAAUCCCCGGGCUUAACCUGGGAAUGGCGCCUGUGACUGUAUAGCUAGAGUGUGUCAGAGGGGGGUAGAAUUCCACGUGUAGCAGUGAAAUGCGUAGAUAUGUGGAGGAAUACCAAUGGCGAAGGCAGCCCCCUGGGAUAACACUGACGCUCAUGCACGAAAGCGUGGGGAGCAAACAGGAUUAGAUACCCUGGUAGUCCACGCCCUAAACGAUGCUGACUAGUUGUUCGGGAUUUACAUCCUGAGUAACG
rnacentral:rRNA from 1 species